rnacentral:rRNA from 1 species
UACGUAGGGGGCAAGCGUUGUCCGGAAUCAUUGGGCGUAAAGAGCGUGUAGGCGGCCCGGUAAGUCCGCUGUGAAAGUCCAGGGCUCAACCCUGGGAUGCCGGUGGAUACUGUCGGGCUCGAGUCCGGAAGAGGAGUGUGGAAUUCCUGGUGUAGCGGUGAAAUGCGCAGAUAUCAGGAGGAACACCAAUGGCGAAGGCGGCAUCAUGCCGG